rnacentral:tRNA from 1 species
GCGGGUGUGGCGGAAUUGGCAGACGCGUACGGUUCAGGUCCGUAUGGGAGCAAUCCCAUGGGGGUUCAAGUCCCUUCACCCGCACCA